AGUGGCGGACGGGUGAGUAACGCGUGAGAAUCCACCUUCAGGUCGGGGACAACCACCGGAAACAGUGGCUAAUACCGGAUGAGCCGAAAGGUAAAAGAUUUAUUGCCUGAAGAGGAGCUCGCGUCUGAUUAGCUAGUUGGUGAGGUAAAGGCUCACCAAGGCAGCGAUCGGUAGCUGAUCUGAGAGGACGAUCAGCCACACUGGGACUGAGACACGGCCCAGACUCCUACGGGAGGCAGCAGUGGGGAAUUUUCCGCAAUGGGCGAAAGCCUGACGGAGCCAGACCGCGUGAGGGAGGAAGGCCCUUGGGUUGUAAACCUCUUUUGUUAGGGAAGAAAAAAAUGACGGUACCUAACGAAUCAGCCUCGGCUAACUCCGUGCCAGCAGCCGCGGUAAUACGGAGGAGGCAAGCGUUAUCCGGAAUUAUUGGGCGUAAAGCGUCCGCAGGUGGCUAGUCAAGUCUGCUGUCAAAUCCGGAAGCUCAACUUCCGCUAGGCAGUGGAAACUGACAGGGCUAGAGAGCCGUAGGGGUAGAGGGAAUUCCCGGUGUAGCGGUGAAAUGCGUAGAGAUCGGGAAGAACAUCGGUGGCGAAAGCGCUCUACUGGACGGGAUCUGACACUCAGGGACGAAAGCUAGGGGAGCGAAUGGGAUUAGAUACCCCAGUAGUCCUAGCCGUAAACGAUGGAUACUAGG
rnacentral:rRNA from 1 species